UUCCCAAUCAGCUCUACAAUAUCUUUCCAAGGAUACUUCAGUAUCUUCCUGGAUCACACCAAACACUUUUCAGAAACUGGCGAAAACUGAAAUUGUUUGUUUCUGAUAUUAUUAACAAUCACCGGAGAGACUGGGACCCAGAUGAGCCGAGAGACUUCAUUGAUGCUUUCCUCAAGGAAAUGGCAAAGUACCCAGACAAGACUACUACAAGUUUCAAUGAAGAAAACCUCAUCUGCAGCACUCUGGACCUCUUCUUUGCUGGUACAGAGACAACAUCCACAACACUGCGCUGGGCUCUGCUCUGCAUGGCCCUCUACCCAGAAGUCCAAGAUAAGUUCUCUCAUUGGCCUGUAAGCCACAAAUAACCACUGAGCCACAGGGGUCUACUUGUGUCUGCAUCUCCAGCAUAUUAGGAUGACAAGAUUUUGCCAUCACAUCUAACUUUUUUAUAUGGAUUCUAGGGACCAAACUUAGGUCCUGCAGCUUGCAAAGGAAUUAUUUAACCAACUGAGCUAUCACUCCUGGGUUUACUUUAUUUCUUUAUGAGUGUGAAAUAUGUACUAAUAUGUAUCUAUCUUUACCUAUAUCCAUCUUGAAUUACCAUUUAAAAUACGUUUCUUCUGAAUGCUACACUGAACUUUUUGGUUACAUUUUAAGGGAUGUAGGGAAAUGCCAUGGUACAAGUGUAGUGGUCAUAAGGCAGUUUAUAGGAUUACAUUGUCUCAUUCACCAUGUAGAUUCUAAGGUUUAAUUCAGGAUAGGUAGUUCAACCCUGUCAUCUAUAUAGCUGUCCUGAGACUACAUUUAUUAAAAUUUAAUUUAAUUCACUUAAAUUAAACAUUUGACUCCUGAAAAUAAGAUGCUAAAAUAUCAG